UGGGGAAUAUUGCACAAUGGGCGCAAGCCUGAUGCAGCCAUGCCGCGUGUAUGAAGAAGGCCUUCGGGUUGUAAAGUACUUUCAGCGGGGAGGAAGGGAGUAAAAUUAAUACCUUUGCUCAUUGACGUUACCCGCAGAAGAAGCACCGGCUAACUCCGUGCCAGCAGCCGCGGUAAUACGGAGGGUGCAAGCGUUAAUCGGAAUUACUGGGCGUAAAGCGCACGCAGGCGGUUUGUUAAGUCAGAUGUGAAAUCCCCGGGCUCAACCUGGGAACUGCAUCUGAUACUGUCGAGCUUGAGUCUCGUAGAGGGGGGUAGAAUUCCAGGUGUAGCGGUGAAAUGCGUAGAGAUCUGGAGGAAUACCGGUGGCGAAGGCGGCCCCCUGGACGAAGACUGACGCUCAGGUGCGAAAGCGUGGGGAGCAAACAGG
rnacentral:rRNA from 1 species